AUUGAACGCUGGCGGCAUGCCUUACACAUGCAAGUCGAACGGCAGCAUGGAGAGCUUGCUCUCUGAUGGCGAGUGGCGAACGGGUGAGUAAUGCAUCGGAACGUACCGUGUAAUGGGGGAUAACGUAGCGAAAGUUACGCUAAUACCGCAUACGACCUGAGGGUGAAAGCAGGGGAUCGCAAGACCUUGCGUUAUACGAGCGGCCGAUGUCAGAUUAGCUAGUUGGUGAGGUAAAGGCUCACCAAGGCGACGAUCUGUAGCGGGCCUGAGAGGAUGAUCCGCCACACUGGGACGGGGACACGGCCCAGACUCCUACGGGAGGCAGCAGUGGGGAAUUUUGGACAAUGGGGGCAACCCUGAUCCAGCCAUGCCGCGUGAGUGAAGAAGGCCUUCGGGUUGUAAAGCUCUUUCGGCCGGGAAGAAAUCGCACAGGCUAAUACUCUGUGUGGAUGACGGUACCGGCAUAAGAAGCACCGGCUAACUACGUGCCAGCCGCCGCCGUAA
rnacentral:rRNA from 1 species